rnacentral:lncRNA from 1 species
UGUACUCCUGUUCUUGAUAAAAAGACGUCCUUCUCUGAUAUUCUCCAUACUCUCUACCUUUGCCCGGCAGCAGUCAGCAGCACAGAUGUUGAGGUUGCAGGCAUUUUCAAUUCCCGACUACAAUCCAGUUACCUUUCCCUCUUCAUGCGUCAUUCCUAGCUCGCUUCAUCUUCACCGUCAGUCAGUAUCUUUUCCAACCACACGGACGCGUCUCCGGUCACUCCGCAUCGUCAGGAUAUGCAGCACUUCCCUUGCAGGCGAUUUCGGAGGUGGCAUAGGGUACUAUUACUUAAAAUCCUCUAGAAAUGUAUAUGUAAUGGAUAAAGUUCGUAGUUAAAUAUUCAGUUAUAUUCAGUUCUGUUAUUUGGGUUUAUGUUCUUGCUACCCAUGUUAAUUAAAGUCAUAAUAUUUGUGGUUGGUGGGUUUUGUUGUACCUUUCUUUUCAUCUCAUUUCCUGCAUUUUGGUGAGUGCAACAUUAAGAAGUGAUGAUGAUAGCAUCGGAUACUUGUUGAUCUAGCAUUCUGCAAGUGAAUGAAGUUAAAUAUGUGAUGAAAGCUUUUUAUCCUUUCUUAACUUGCAGAAUGAGUGGUUUUUAUGAUGUUGAGCUUAAAGUCCGGGACUAUGAGCUUGAUCAGUAUGGCGUCGUAAACAAUGCUGUCUAUGCAAGUUAUUGCCAGCACGGUGAGACCUCUAUAUUCGUUCGUACAGUUAACAUUUCUGUAUUUUGAAAGGCUUUUCAUAUAUAUCAACACAGCUUUUGGAACAUGCUUCUUAAUUUGGUGGCUAAAUCUAAACCAUGGUAUCAGGGUUGAUCAUGUUCUCAUGGGAAAUGUAUAGUGUUACACAUUGCCUGUAAAAUGAUCAGCAGCAAUAGAUCACAUCUUUUUAUGUCUUUACCCCAGAUGUGAGUACAUAUCAACAUUCUUGCUUCAACAUUUUGAUUAUGCAGGUCUUUAUGAACUUCUUGAAAGGGUUGGCAUGAGUGCUGAUGCAGUUGCCAGAACCGGUGAAGCAUUCGCGCUGUCAGAAUUGUCUCUGAAAUUCAUUGCGCCUCUAAAAGUAUGUAUUUCAUUUGAAUCUCUCGAGUUUUUUUCUGUCAAUUUUGCAAACAGUACAUUUCUGCUACCACAGAAUGUAAAAUGUGGUGAUUGUGACAACUGAGUCUUGCUUCUUCUACAUGAUUUGUAAAUAGAGUGGAGAUAAGUUUGUCAUAAAGGUCCGGAUGACCAACUCCUCAGCCGCUCGCGUCUACUUUGAUCACUUCAUUUUCAAGCUGCCAAAUCUAGAGGUUUGUCAUUAUCACUCUCUAAUUAUGCUGGCCCUUGACGCCGAGUUACCUACUGAUCAUGGCAUGGUUUCUAAACAGCCUAUCUUGGAAGCCAAGGCCACAGCAGUGUGGCUUGAUAAAGACUAUCGCCCUGUACGUAUUCCAUCUGAGGUGACAUCUAAAUUUGUGCAGUUUCGUCGCCAUAAGGAGUCCAAACACGUCGUGCACAACGGUGUUGGUGCUAGAAGUCUUCGUUUCUAAACCUUUUAAUCUGGUACCAGGAGAACGGAGGCAGAAUAAAAACAGAUUCAUUUCUCAUAAUAAAGUAAAUUAAGAUUGUUGUUAGUAUUAAGAUUAAAGUAGUAUUCCUCAUCAUAUAUACUAGACAUCGCACCCGCUCUUUGCUGCGGGUUUUGGCAAGAGUGUUUUAACAUGAAAGUUUUAUUUUGGGUUUCUUCAGAGAACCAAACUUCAAAUGACAAAAAAAAAAAAAAAAAAAAAAAAAAAAUUACAAAUGAAUCAUAAGAUAACUGCUAAAAUUUAGACAACCAAGAUAUCCACAAAUACAGAUGAUGCUGCAAGAGUGCUUAAGAAAUAGGCUAUUCAAGGCUGACUGGUUACAAUUGCUAGUGGACAGCUUGCAAAAAAGUAGUUGAUUUUGUCCAUUAACACAUGCUAUAAAAGCUGUAUAAGCUUGUACAUAGUUAUGAGGUUGUUCAAAAAGUUUCUUUGCUGAUGAUUUCCAUUGAUGACUUGCUGGUCCAGUUUUGGUGCUUUCCUAUCAUUUUGGAAGAAAGAUAUAGUUAAAUAUUCCAAUAUGCAAAAUCUCUAAACUUUUAUGUAAGCAAAUGUAUUGUAUAUGUGCAGAUCAUCAAUCUAUAAUGCAAAGCGUGCAAUGACAUUUAAUAUGCAGUAUAUGAAUAUAUAGUUUAGCUUAUGCUACAAACAUCAAAUAGCCAAAAAAAAAAAAAACAAUGAUGUGUAUACAUCAGUAUGAAUAAGAUCAGAACUCAAAACAAAACAACAUAAAAUGCAGAAUUUUUGAACUCAUUACUGCUAAUGGUGGUUAACUGAAAUCAAUAUGGCAACACUGAAUACAUAAAACACAAGAUUUCAAUUUAGCAAGUCAGUAUGGCUAUAUGGUACACAUAAAAAGCUGGAUUUCAAAUGAGCAGAAUUUACAGAUAUGAUCCCUAAGAAACAUGAGGGAAGUCCAGUAGCACUGUGUAACAACAACUCAAAACAGAUUUUGAGUUGCCAGCAAUAUGCCUAUUCUUUUUUCUUUUUUUUCUUUUUGAAGGAAAAUAAUAUACCUAUUACACUUGCACUUCUUAAUGGACCAUUAAAAGUUCAACUUUCAGUUUCUGGCAGCUUACUCAAGGUACACGAUGUAAUAAUAAAUAGUAAUAAAUAGUAAAAUGGAAGUAUUCUGGUAUAAUUUCUACUUGUCAUCCAUAUCUAUCAUAAAAACAAAGAUCAUACGAUGAUGAUGUAUAGAGUUUCUAUCUUGUAAGAAUUGGUACCGCACUCUGGUUUAUUUUGUAGUAAAUCAAAAUGAAAAUAUAAACUUUAUGUUGUUCAGGUUUAUUCUUUUGCAUUUGUAUUACCAUCUUUUCUAGUACUUAAAUCCUCUUAAUCUAAUGGAUUUACCCUAUAAAACCCCUUAUGAUCCACUGCUCUGCCCCCCAGCCCCCGCCCCCCCCCCCCUCCUUAUAUAAUCAAUAAUAUUUUAAUGUCCAGAACUAUUUCAUCUGCUCACACCACAUGGAUUCUAAACUAUAUCAACCCCAAGUAAUCCUCUCACUGAAUUAUAGCUCUCUACAAAAUAAUAAUAAAACAUGAAAAGGAAAUUCAAUAUACAUAAUAAGGAAAACAUGAUACUUCGAACUGCAUAAAAAAAAAAAAGAAGAUAAGUACCCAUAUUAAAUGACUCUGAAGGGGUGGAUCAGCAGCUGUAGAAAUCCCCAAAAUCAGCUUAUUGCCAAAAACGUAAACUGAGAGAAGGAAUCAAAGACAAAGACGAAGAGAGAAGAAACCUGAGAGAGAAAGAGAGAACGUCUCUUUUUGGAGGGUCGUCUCUCGUCGUGGAGAGAGAACACAGAGCCACGUAGCAGAAGACUUACAGCUGUCGGCGUUAUCAGCUCACGGCAGCACUGGUAGAUUCUGUAAUUGAGUUAGGGGCAAAACCAGCGUUCGCUAGAGUUUGACUUCAGGAGGUUGCGAGAGGGAAGGCAAGCGGUUGCGAGAGAGAGGAGCUGGUCUCGAAGCUUCUAAGAGGUGGCCGAAGAGAAAAAUUGGGCUACUUUCAACAAACAACAGACUGGAUGGGAAUCUUGAGAUCACAGCGAAAUCUUCAGAUCGGUUUUGAAGCUUCUAAGAGAUGGCUGAAGAGAAAAAAUGAGGCGCAAGAUGAAGAACGAAGCAGGUCCAUUGAGGCCCAAAACUGUUCCGUAUUAACAGUUGCUUGAACAGUAUUUUAAACAAUAAAACAGUGCAACGAAAAAUAGUAUAAUGUUAAUGUUAAAUGCCUCCAUGUGAGACAUAUAAUCUAUGUAACAUUGUUUCAAUAAAGAGCCCAGCAUCUUGUUCAGCGAUCACUAGGCCUCACUGUGAGUCUUACAAUCAAAACCGAGACAAAAGAUACCGAUCUGAAACAAAACAAAACAAAAAACCCACAAUCAUAAUCAAAAGAACGAAAUCAUUGUGGCAACUCAUGAAAUUCAUCAGAAAAAUUUUGGGUUGCUGGAAAAAUAUGUCUGGCUAUGAGCAUGAUAAUACAAUUCGACAUAAGAAUGCAACACCAAUCAGAUACACAGUUUCAAAGCAUCAUCGGAACACUUCACAUGACUAUACACCGCAUCCCAUAAAUACACAGUUUUAGGGCUGUAAAUCUCACCUCUAACUUCCUCCUAAGUAACUCCACUUCCUCAAUCUUCUCAUGUAUCUUACUUUCAUAGUUCGAUAUAGCCUUUUCAUAGGCAGCAUUUUCCUCCUGCAAUGUCACCUCUCUCAACUGGGCCUGUCCACAAUUCCAAACAGGAUCAAUGAAACUCAAUCAGUACCAAAAAACAGGUGAGUUCUGGAAUACUCCGGAGCAUCCAUGCUCCGCGUUUGUCUUGGUUACGUGUCGAUCCUCCAUUAGGUUGUGUAUUUCGUCCGUGUUAGUCUCCUUGAGCACGUGAGUUGCAUAACUCAGUAAGUAUUUCAUCCGCAAUCAAGAGAGGGCAGACAAGUUGGAUGUGGAAGAUCGAUCUAUCUCCCUCUCCUUGAUCUGAUCGGCUUGCUUAAGAGCGGCCGUUUUGAUAUCGUUGGCUAUCUUGGAGGGCAUCGGCGGCGAACUCGCGGGAUCGCUUGAGAUUUUGGCGGCGAACUGGUGAUGGUCUGAUUUCUUGGCUGCUUCUUUGGCGAAGCUAUUGGGUCGUUUCCACAGAUCUUCCAUUGUUUGUCUCUUCAAUUGCAGGACUGAGGGAGAGAAAGAUAACGUGUUGGUGGGUUUGGUAGUGGUGGGUGUGUGCUUUGUGUUGGUGGUGGUUGUUAUUUCCUUCUCUCUCUUUUUUCUUUUUUGUCUGCUUGGAAUCAAAAUCUAGAGAUGGGAAUGACUCCAUGUUGUGACAAGAAUGGGCUGAAGAGAGGUACGUCCAUGGACUCCUGAUGAGGAUGAGAUUCUUGUCAAUUACAUCAACACAAAUAAGGGACAUGGCAGCUGGAUAAUCUCUUCCACAGCAUGCAGGUUUUGUGUGUAAUGCUAGCUACAUGUUCUAUCUGGGUUUUGGUCCAUUGUUAAGGAAUAAGACUUAUCAAAACCGGAUCCAACCCAGAAAACGAAGAAAGAUGACAAAUGGAGGAGAGAUACCCAGACCGAAACUGUGUUUCGCACUACCCAAGUCCUUAGAUCUGAGGAAUAAAACUUAUCAAAAGAAAAAACAAUUAAAACUAAUACCCACGCACCACGCGCCUAGCAAUGGCGUGCUUGCAAUCGACUGGUUAACCGGUUUAUUCACUUUUUACUUCUGUCAGAAAACAAACGCGAAACACGGACGCUCCGGAGCAUUCCAGACGUCUCCCCAAAAACAACCCAAAAUCCCAAACCUUUAACUACAACCACAUCCCCAAACUAACAAAAAUCCAAUCUUUCAAUAACACACGCAACAAUUCCAAUCAGAACCAAAGACCUAGAUAAGAAAGAUCCAAACUUCAACCAAAUAAAGCAACAAUUGUUACAAUUUACAACCAAUUUCAAGAACCCAGAUAGAAAAUUAAGGGCAAUAAAUUUAGUGGAGGGGUGGAUCAGCAGCUGUAGAAAUCCCCAAAAUCAGCUUAUUGCCAAAAACAUAAACUGAGAGAAGGAAUCAAAGACAAAGACGAAGAGAGAAGAAACCUGAGAGAGAAAGAGAUGAAAGAGAGAACAUCUCUUUUUGGAGGAUCGUCUCUCGUCGUGGAGAGAGAACACGGAGCCACGCAACAGAAGACUUACAGCUGUCGACGUUAUCAGCUCAUGGCAGCACUGGUAGAUUCUGUAAUUGAGUCAAGGGCAAAACCUGCGUUUGCUAGAGUUUGAGGUUACGAGAGAGAAGGCAAGAGGUUGCGAUAGAGAGGAGCUGGUCUCGAAGCUUCUAAGAGGUGGCCGAAGAGAAAAAUUGGGCUACUUUCAACAAACAACAGACUGGAUGGGAAUCUUGAGAUCACAGCGAAAUCUUCAGAUCGGUCUUGAAGCUUUUAAGAGAUGGCUGAAGAGAAAAAAUUAAUGAGGCGCAAGAUGAAGAACGAAGCAGUUCCAUUGAGUUCCAAAACUGUUCUGUAUGAACAGUUGCUUGAACAGUAUUUUAAACAGUAAAACAGUGCGACGAAAAAUAGUAUAAUGAGGAAAAUUUUCAAAUGGUGCCUCAAGUUAAGUCCAUUCAUCAUUUUGACACCCCAAUAUUGAAAACUAUGAUACUGGUACCUCAACACUUAAACUCAACUCAACAUUAGUUCCCUCCGUGAUUGACACCGUUAAGUUGGAUUUUGUCCAUGGGCAAAAUUGUCUCUUCAUGUUUUCCUUCCACAAACCUUAUAAGUUGAAUUAGAGUUUCUCGACCUGAAGAUAUCAACUAUGAAUGUGAGUCCUAUUACCUAGUUAUCUAUAUAUGUUUCAUGAACUUCUGUACUUGAUACAAAAUGCAUUUUAAUCAAUAUUGAUUCUUUCUCUCACCGGUGGUUUGCAAAAGCUACUUUUAAUGAUGGAUAUUAAUGACCAAUGGUGUAUUAUAAUUUCUAGAUGUCUCUAAUUUUUGUAUGCAGCCAACAUAUGGCUCACCAUAAAUUUUGAUACAGAUGGAAAAAUGAACAUUAUUUUGGAGGAAAAUGUUUGUGGAGGGAAAAAAAUUUGGUAAGGGAAAACAUGAAAAAACAAUUUUGCCAAUGGAUAAAGUCCAACUUAAUGGUGUCAAUCACGGAAAGAACUAAUGUUAGAUUAGGUUUAAAUGUUGAGGUACCAUUAUCAUAGUUUUCAAAAUUAAGAUGUCAAAAUGAUAAAUAGGCUUAACUUGGGGCACUAUUUGAAAAUUUUUUUCUAAUGUUAUUGUUCAAUGCCUCUAUGUGAGACAGAUAAUCUCUGUAACACUGUUUCAAUAAAGUUCAUGAUUAUCUGGUUAGUGCUCAGAAGUUAUUGGCAUGUGAUCCUUACACGUAGUCUCUGAUCUUUUGGACUAUUACGAUACGUGUGAACUUGGAGGAGUUUGAAGGUCAGUGAGGGAACUUACGUGUUAGGGCGAACAUAAGACAAAUCAAUCUUCAUCGCAACUUUAAUGUUCUAAAAAUGUCACAUCUCGGUUCUUCAGUUAAUUUACGGUUAUUGACUUUUAGGUUACUUUGACCUCACUACCAGGACAAGCACUUUCUGCCCGUUAGCUUAAUUCGUCGGUUAAGAUUUCGUCGGGAAAAGGUUGUCGGCGAUGACUUUAGCCGAUGAAACUAGAAGACGUUGUCGGCUAUAGUCCUAAAGUUUAGCCGAUGAAAAACAUAUCGUCGGUUUUUUCUCAGACUUUAGCCGACGAAACAUUUAAGAUACUCGUCGGCUAAAGUGUUUAAUUAAAAAUUAAAAAUAACUAAAGCCGACGAAAUAUAGUCUGUUUCGUCGGCUUUAGAAGGGUUUAGCCGAUGAAACAUGCCAUAAUUCGUCGGCUAAACCUUAUUUAAAAAAAUUUAAAUACUAUAGCCGAUGAAUUAUUGCGUAUUUCGUCGGCUAUAAGUCCAUUCCAGUAAAAAAAAAACCCGAAAUUUCUAAAUUACCAUUCCAAGCAAGCUGCAAAAUACACCAAAACAAUUCCAUAUAACCAACAACAACAAUAAGCACAUAAAACAAUAUAUAAUUCAUCAACUACACAAAAUCUAGAUCGUCUAAAUUAAUAUCCGCUUCUGGAGGCUGCUGCGGAGGUUGCGGCGGCUGAGGUAGCGGUAUAGCCGGAAGUCCCUGAAGCUGGGCAGCUGUAAAGUCCUGCAUGUACUGAAACAUCUGCUGCUGCUGGGCCUGCUGGAUGGCAUGUAUCUCGGCAACAUAGGCUGCCUGCGCGGCAUUAUAGGCUACCUGCGAGGCAUUAUAGGCUACAUGCGAGGCAUUAUAGGCUACUUACGAGGCAUUAUAGGCAGCCUGAGCAGCUUGUUGUUCCCGUAGUCUCUGAAGUUCUUACUCUAGCUGAGUCGUCCUGGUGGUCGUGGUCGUGGUCCUGCUGCUGGUCGACGCUGCCUUUCAUUGAAAUCCUGGAGUGGUCUUCAGGACCCCCUCGCCCUUCUUUCCUAGACCCCGGCAGUAGAAGUUGUUUGCUCGCGGUGGGAAGGCUGUGCUCAUGAUCCUCGCCCCAACCGUCGGAUCCGAAGUGUCGAUCCAGGACAUGGCUUCGGACAUCUCUUCCUCCUGCGUGUCCGGCCAUGUCUCUCUCACUAUAGCACUCAUCACCUCGUCACUAGCCUCCCUCACCUUCGCCUAAUUGGAUAGGAAAAAAAUUACUAAUUAACAUUUUGACAUAUAUAUAAGUAAAAAAACGUAAGAUAACUUACAAUAUCCUCCUGAACGUUAGGAUAUGCCUUCUCGUACGUAUAGACGUAUUGGUUGACUUCUGGAUGUUCCCUGGCCGCCUCGUCCAUGAAGACAGCGAACGGUCUAGAACCGGCACGAUGGUUCCUUGUGUUGCGUUGCCGGUUCUGAGCGUUCGCCCGGGAAACGGCCUUCAAAGAAAAAAUAAACUAUUAGUAAAAUAUUUAAAAACGCACGUACUUAAUGACAAAAUAACUAAUUAAUUUUUUUAAAUACCUGUUUACGAGAGUUGUUGAAUUCUGAUGUCAGAAGCCAACGCCACUCGUACUCUCUGUACUGGAACUCAACAGGGGUACUAGAACGUGCGUUCCCGUGCGUAGUCUAGUGGGUCCGUAACUCGUUCUUCCACUCCUUGUACAUACAGAUACAACAAACAUAUUAGAAAUAUUAUUAAUAUCACAUACAAUUUUGUUUUUUCAUUAACUUCCCAACGUACCUUCCCCCAUGCACAACGUCCGCCCAGCUGCUCUUCAGGUGCUCGGGAACCUCAAACCACACCUGCAUUUAACCGUUUAUUAGUUUAGUUUUUCGAGAAAUCAACAAUGUAAUACAUAAUAUUAUUGAGGCAUUUUGUAAACUCACCGACAUUGCGUUGUGGACCAUGUCCUUAACCUCCUGCGGGACCUCGCCCCGGUCUGACCACAACAUAGGGAUUUUAUCCCUAAUGAGCGCUCCCACGCUGCCGGGGUACGUCCUCGACUUCCCGCCCGAUACUAUGUCGCCAUCCCCGUCAGUACGGAUGACGAUCCUCCCUGAGGUACCGACGAUCUUCUCGAGAGCCUUCCCUAUGACGGGGCCUCUCUUCUUCUUUGCCGGCUUCGCUCCGACGGUGCCUAUCACAUGAUAAACCUAAUUGAUUAUUAAAAUUGGAGAAUUAUAAGAAAACAAAUCAUUCAUCUUUCAUUACCUGAGGGCGAUGCGGCGGACGCGACGGAUUCCGUCUCUGUCGCCGAUGAUGAUACCCUCGCGGAAAUAAGAGGCAUAUCAAAAGGCACGAACCGGUACGCCGCUGAUGGAGCCAUUGGCGGGGGCAGUGGAUAAAUCGGCGUCUCUGAGCCAUUGACUGCAGGUAAGGCCGGUAUCAUCCGCGGAAGGAACAGAUGAGGCGGCGGCGUUUGUACCUUAGAUGACCCACUAUCCGAAGAAGUAGGACCUGGAGUGGGCGCCCGGUGUAUCUCAGGCAUACGGGGUGCAGACACCUCCGUCUGGGUCUGAGGCCACAACUGCCUCGAGGAAUGAGGAAUGCCCCGCUGUCUCGAUGAAGGGUGCACCUCCGGCUGCCUCUGCACCGUCUGCAGAAGGCUCGCACGUCUGGCUGUCAUGGGGCCUUGAAACGACGUUUGAGGGUUGCUAGAGGUUCCUUCAGACGAUUCGGACCUUUGGCCCUUCAAACCCUUAAUAUUACCGCUCAUCCUGUUUAAAAUAUUAAUUUCAUUCUUAUUUUCAUAUUCGUAACAACACCACAAAAUCAAACAAUGUAAACCCAUUCAAUUAGUCAAAAAAAAAAAAAAAUACACUUCCUAAAUACAAAUUUACACUUCCUAAAUACAAAUAUACACUUCCUAAAUACAAAUAUACACUUCCUAAAUACUAAAUACAAAUAUACACUUCCUAAUAAAUAAAAAUAUACACUUUCUAAAUACAAAUAUACACUUCCUAACAACACCACAACAUUGCAAUUGACCGGAAAAUCAAAGCAAACAUAAAAUACUAAAUACAAAUAUACACUUCCUAACAAUAUCACAACAUUGCAAUUGAUCGGAAAAUCAAAGCAAACACAAAAUGAAAUGUGAAACAGAAAUGUACUCGAGGAGGAGGGAGGGCUAGAGGCUGGAGCAGCAGGAGGAGGAGGGAGGAUCGGAGCAGCAAGAGGAGGAGGGAGGGCUGGAGCAGCAGGAGGAGGAGGUAGGACCGGAGCAGCAGGAGGGGGAGGGAGGGCCGGAGCAGCAGAGGGCGACCGGGAGAGGGAGAGGAGGCGGAGGAGGCAGACCGGGAGAGGGAGAGGGAGAGCAGGCGGAGGAGGCGGAAGAGGAGGUUUUUCUGCUGUCGAGCGCUGGGUGUUCGCCUCUAUACCCGACAACUUUAGCCGACGAAAUUAUUAUUUCAUCGGCUAAAGAUAAUAAUUUCAUCAGCUAAGAUAAUAAUAUUGUCGGUUAAGAUCAAAUUCGUCGGCUAAACCUUUGAAAUUCGUCGGCUAAAUUUUUGAAAUUCGUCGGCUAAACCUUUGAACUUCGUCGGCUAUAGUAUUUUUUAUACAUUUGGCAAAUUGUGAUUGUGAUGAUCAAACUUGAGAAACGAAAAUCCGACCGUCAGAUCUGACCAUCAUGAUAAAAUACAUGUAUGGGAAAAAAUUCAACUUGAUCCGACAAGGUUAAGGGCUCAAUCCGGACGGUCAAUCCGUUAAGUCAAACCCCUAAACGCAUGGAAAAGGUCGUUGGACCGUCUAAAUUUUGUAUUUUGGCCGGACCUUCAACUGAAAAUAGUUUCAAAUCAAUGAGGCGCAACAAGUCGUAUAAAAAUUUUACGCAAAAUAACUACCAAAGAUAGGGCUAUAGUAUGUAAUAGAAAAAUUUUAGGGUUUAGCCGACGAAUACCCUAAUAUAUUCGUCGGCUAUAGUAUGUAAUAAAAAAUAAAAAAAUAAAUAAAGCCGACGAAAUAUUAGGGUAUUCGUCGGCUAAAGUGAUCUUAACUAAUGACUUAUAAUAUAAUUCGUCGGCUAAGAUAGUUUUAGCUGACGAAAUAUACCAUAAUUCGUCGGCUAAGAUGGUUUAGGCCGACGAAUUAUGGUGUAUUUCGUCGGCUAAAGUAUAAAAAUUACAUUAAAAACUGAAGUUUUAAUGUAAACCAUACUCACUUCCUGUUCAUAUAUCACCAAAAUUCAUAUAAAAUAACAGAAAUAUGAAUUCAACAUAUGUAAACUAUAAAGGUAAUACAUUCUUUUUUAUUACAAAUUAAUGUAUUACGUCCUCUAAAUUAAAACUAAGGCUGGUAAUCGGAAUCAUCCAAUGAGUCUUCUUCGGUGUCAGAAUUAAUUUCUGGUAAUCUAUGCAUUUCCUCAUCGCCAGAGUCUUCGUCUGUUUCUUGAUUUGGAUCAACAUCAAUAAGCCUUGGCUCUUCAUCACGAAUUCGCACCGAACGACCCGCUUUAAAAUUAUUAAGGCGAACGGUAGAGGAGUUAGGAAUACCUAUUGCGUUAGGCUCUUGAUACGCAACAUCUUAUUUCUCGUCUUCGGCCUCUCCAAGUGUAGCUGUCCGGUAAAUGUUUCGAGGGUGCACAAGGUUGACUACUUUCCACGUGUCACCCUUAGCAAGGUCAUCAAGAUAAAACACUUGUUUUACCAAUGUGGCAAAAACGAACGAGUCAUUUUCGUAACAACUUGUAGCAGUGUUCACCGAUAAUAUUCCGUACUGAUCGGUCUUCAUGCUCUGCGGCCUAGUAUCAAACCAUCUACACUUGAAGAGGUGCACUGUCAUGCCUUGCCCAUAAACGAGUUCCACCACUGAAUGGAGAACACAGUAAUAGUCAACUCCAUUCUGCCCACCAUGCGCCAUCACCCCAGAAUUCUGUGUUCUCCAUCUGUUGUCUCUCUGUUCACAUAUAAAUUACACGCCAUUCACCUUGCACAUCGGAUAAACUCUUGACAUUAUCGGCUUCAUCGCUAGAAGUCUUAGUUCGUGCGACCAAUUUGGGUGACCAUCAAAUUGAAUAUGGUUAAUCUACAACCAAUCAUUCAACUAUAAAUAUGGAUAAUUAUGCAAUAAAUAGAAAUACGGAGAGAAAUAUUGAAUUACGUACCCAGCCGCUAAAAUAGUUUGCGAACUCCCUGUUAUGGUACUCGACAUCACCUUGAAUGCUUGGAUAAUAUAGAUGGAUGUCUUUCCAGUAUUCAACUUCUGGACAGUUAAUCAAUACCCACCAGUGGGCAAUGACUAGCACUUGUGGUUGCAACUUGUAGGAGUCUAGCAAAAUUCCAUAAACUUUAACAUCACUGGAGAGUAUGGAAAGAUUGAACGUCGGUACAUCUACCGGUAUGGUUUGCGGAGUUUUCUUCAACGCUCCUAAAUACAACUUCAUGUAGGUGACGCACUCGUGCGUAAUAUAUGCUUCAGCUAUACAUCUUUCAGGCGCGGAUUUAUUAGCCACAUAAUAUUUGUAGUCUCCAAGUUGCCUAUAAAUCAAGUUGCAAAGUGUUAUGAUUAUUGAACAUGUAUAUAUAUUGAGGAAUUCAGGUGUAAAAAAUGUACAUUUUCAUGGGAUACAUCCAAGUGUAGUGUACUGGACCGGACCGGUAAGCAACAAUUGCUUGGGAAGAUGGAUCAUCAGGUGAGGCAUGAUGUCAAAAAAAUUUGAAGGAAAUAUCCUCUCAAAUUUACACAUGAUAUAAAUGAUGUCUUCUUGCAUUUCCCGGAGGUUAGAUUUUUUCACUUCCCGUGUGCAUAACUUCUGGAAGAAUCUUGCCAACGCUACUAACUGCUCCACCACCAGAUGGGGAAGGAACAGUCGAAUGAAAACAGGGAAGAGACGUUGUAGCAGGAUAUGACAGUCAUGACUCUUCAACCCGUACAUCUUAUUGUCCCGGAAGUUCACACACCGGGCUAUAUUUCCUGCAUAGCCUGAAGGAUACUUCACACAACUCACCAACUUGAAAAUUACGUUCUUCUGGUCAGGCUUCAAGGUGUAAGGAGCUUGAGGCAUUUUUUUCUUCCCUUCUUUCAACCACAAAUGUCUUCUUAAUUGCAUUUUUUUUAGAUCAAUAUGUGCUUUAGGACCGUCUUUCGCCUUCCCCUCCAAGUUCAGCACUGUGCCCACCACACUGUCGCAAACAUUUUUUUUUAUGUGCAUCACAUCUAGGUAGUGCCUGAUCAACAACUUACUCUAGUAUGAGAGUUCCCAGAAUAUGCUCUUAUGUGUCCAGAAUUUGUAUAUGUCGGGUCUUUCAGGUAUUGCCGCCACAAUAUUGGGAUGAUUGCUGAGUUGCCCAAAAUCGUACUCAUUACGCACUGCUAAAAUUUCUUCCUCUGUCCAUCUUCUGGGAGGCACACCGUUUUCUACGGUCCCAUCAAAUGCCUGUGCAUUGAGCUGCCAUCGUGAUCAUAUGGAAGGAGAGUACGGUGACCCAAUUUGCAUAUCUUGUUACAAUGACUGCUGCUCCCCUCAUCGCUAAGGCACUCUGGACAAGUCUUGUAUCCCCUAACAACGUUGCCCGAAAACAUCCCACGGGUAGGAAAAUCACUGAUGGUACCAGCAACCAUGACAUGCAUCUAGAACAUCUGGUGCAUGUACUUGUCAUAAAUGGGAUGACCAACGUCCCACAAAAACUUAAGCUCUUCAAUCAAAGGUCUCAAAUACACAUCGAGACACUUCUCCCAAAACCCGUUACUCUUCAGAUGCUGCCAUACUUUGUCAAUCGCAAAUCGAUGCAUAUCGCUGCGACACUGACAUUUCGUGCACGGGCAAUAGAAAUUUGUAUUCCCGUUAGCAUUAGCCAGCACAUAUUCCAGAAAACUUAUAACUCCUUUACCAUAUCUUUUGUCCCAUUUUGGAAGCGAAAUCCAACUCUUAUCCAUAUCCUGAAAAUAUAACAAAAUAUAUAUGUAUAACGCUAGCUAAUUAUUAAUUAAAUUCUAUGCCAUAUAUAAAAUUUCAAUUCAUUUAGUAUAUAUUCUACGUACUACAACUAAUUGAUAACAAAUUAAUUAACACAUAUAUAUAUAUAUAUACUUAAUAAUUACAUAACAAUAUUAUAUAUAUCAACAUCAUCACAAAAUACAUCAUCAACAACUUACAUACCAUACAACGACAUAUUAUAAUUAAUUAACUAUAUAUAUAUAUAUAUAUAUAUCUACUACUUAUGAACAACUUCAUAUAUAUUAUCAAAUACAUCAACCAAAUACGAUCAAUAUAUAUAUAUAUAUAUAUAUAUAUACACAUCCAACGUACUCAAAAUCUAUCAUUUGAAUAACACUCAAAAUCGAUCAACUCAAAUAAAACUCAAAAUCAACAUAUAUACACAUGUACGUUAUAUAGCUUCACAAACUAAUUAUGGACAGAUUUCGACAACACCCAAACUUUUUCUCCCGUUUUUUUUCCCAGAUGAGCUGCAGUCCAGAUUUGUGAAUAUAAAGCACUUUAGCCGACAAAAUUUAAAUUUCGUUGGCUAAAGAAUGUUUAAGUCGUCGGCUAUAGUCUGUGAACUUUAGCCGACGAAAUAAAUUCUUUCGCCAACGAAAUUUUUAUUUCGUCGGCUAAAGUUGACCAUAGCCGACGAAAAUAUAAAUUAGCCAACGAAAAAAUGAUUUGUCUGCCUGGUUUUUUUAUUUUCAUCGGCUAAAGCCUUUCUUCUAGUAGUGUCUUUUACUGUUUUGAGUAACCAUUUACUAUUUAAGGCUCUAUCUAAAAGUUGACUUUUUCCUUCGUCUAAAAUUUGGGAAAACUUUCUUCAUGAAAGUCGUAGAGGACGUAAAACAAAGUUCGUUGACACAUGGCACGCUUAAAACGGAGUUCGUAUGAAAAAGUUUUGGUAUAAAAACGAAAGUUACUAUUUCAGUUAGGAGUAUAAAAAAGGAAACAUACCAGAAGAGGUAAGGUAGAAAUUAGAAAGUUAAUUUCUCUCUCUCUCUCUCUCUCUCUCUCUCUCCUCUCCCGCGCCAGUUUCGACCACUAGACUUUAACGCCUCCGUCCGCCGCUGUCCGGCCAAGAAAGGCUGCAAGCUUGGUAUCAAAUGGAAGCUUGGAGCAUCCUCUACAAGUCUAGGUAGAUGGCAGCCAGUGUCGCGCCGCCAUGAAGGAGCACGAUCGCCGGGAAGUCACGGCUGUGCCGCUUAGGUGUUCUCGCCGGAACUCCUUUUUUCGACCACCAAAAUCGGAGCUGUCGGUCUUGUCUUGAAGCUCUCCCUUCCAGCAGCAAACCUCUAAAAGGAUUCGACCUAACUCGAGCUAGGUACGUAGAAUCGAAUGUUUGAAAUUCUAGGGUUUAAAUUGAGAUUUUUUUUAUAUUUGGCUUCGAUUACCCUAGUUAGGCUUGAAAUUGGACUUUGUGGUUGUUAUGAAAGUUGUUUGGAAUGUUGAUAAGAAGAUUGUGUCAAAAUUUGGUAACCAUUAGAGGUCGCCGAAAUUGGGCUGGCCAGUUGCCACUGUUGGCGGAGCAGACGGUGGCGCCGCCACUUAGGGGUAUUUUUCAUGUUUUUGAGUUUGUUUUAAAGAGAGAAGUUUAAUGAUGUGAAGUUUGGAAUUUUUGGAGGAGUUUUGGUUAGGUUUGAGAUUUUUCAAAGAUUGAGAAUUUUGGUGGUUGUUAUAGUGAAAAUCCAGCCGUUGGAUUUCGUUGGUAUUUAUUCUAGAAUGUUAGAAUUGAUGAAUUCAGGUUGUGUUGGAGUUUGGUGUGAAUCCGAUAAGUUUAACCCUAGUAAGAGUAGUGGGUUAAGCGGAAAAGAUUUGGGUGUUUAUAUUCAAGUAUUUAUUUUCCGGAAUUGAAGUUUGGUCCUAAGCAUAUUUAUUGUGUCAGGAUACGAAGAGAACCUCGCUUGAGUGGUGAUGCGGAUAUCGUCGGGCUUAUGCCUAAAUUUGUGAGUGAACAUUUUGGUUUUAAAUAAAUAUGCAUGCAAGAUUUUAUAAUUUAUUAUUUUAUUUUUCGAGCUUAUAUUAUAAUUUCGGUUUAUGAAAUGAUCUUAGAAAGUAUUUGAGUUUGAAGCAUUGAUUAAUUAUGGGUCAUGAUUUAUGGAUUUGAGCUCAGAUUACUAAUUUGGUAUUUGAGUUUGAAUAUUCUUUAAAUUCCGGAUUUCAUUAUGAUUGCUUUAGAUGUGGACUUGAGAUUUAUAAACGAUUUCCGAAAAUGGGAUUUUCGGUAGUUUGCUAUUUAUAAUUUUCGCAUUUAUUGUGGAAUAUCGAUCUUGACCUUGAGAAUAUUUUAGCAAGUAUUUUAGUUUGAGAUAUUAAUUAUGAUUUUUACUUAUUAAUUAAACCUCGCUUAUUUUAUGGCUUUAAGAAUGUUUUGACGUGUGAGACACAUCAUUGAGUUUUAAUAUAAUUUCUUAUGAUGAUGUUCAAGUACGGUUGGGAAUCGUACCAUUCGUAUGAUCUUGGGGAAGUUUAAUAGAUUUAAGUGAUUUCAUAUGUUUUUAGCCACCAUAAUAUAGGGUCGUUUAUAUUUCAUUACUAGCUAGCUUUAUUAGCGAUCCUCACCAUAAGUGAGUCGAGCGCUUAGCGUGAGACGCUACUAUAGCCUGUGAGGCAUCGCUCGCAUAAUAUUAUUUAUUGCAAGCUAGCCUUAUUAGCGGUCCUCAUUAUAGGUGAAUUGAGCGCUUAGCGUGGGACGCUACUAUAGCCUAGGAAGCACCGACCCGAGCCUUUGGAGGCUCCUCUUACAUGGUGAUAACUCUUCCCUUUAUUUUAUUUUUCUCAGUUAUGUAUUUGAUUAACCAGUGGGGCUAGUUUAUCUCUUCUUACUAGAUUUCUUUGUUUGAUUAACCAGCGGGGCUGGUUUGUCCAUUCUAUUGGGUUUCUGGAAUUUAAGUUAUAUGAUUUACGAAAGUUGCGUGUAGCUAAGUUUUUAAAGCUGAACGUGGAAAAGUAUUUAAAUUACGUAUUUUGUUAAAUUGUUUAAUUUAUUUUUGUCCACUCACUCUAACGUUUUUAAAUUACUUUCCCUUGGGCCAUUUGGUUUUAAAUGCCCAAUAUGCAAGAUAAGUUUAAACGAGGUCGAGCGUACAUGGAGUUGAGGCAUAGUCAGAGGUUGCUUCCGCUUAUUCGUUUUCAUUAUUUUUCAUUCAUCAUUAGAUAUUCUCUGAAAGUCCAGUAGUAAAUUAUUAAAUGUUUUUGUUGUUGGUUGUGGGAUGUUUUUAGAUGAGUAAUUGAUAUAUUGGGAGGUGCGAUGAACUUGGGGAGCAUGAAGGCUUCAGGAGUUGAGGAUGGAUGAUUUUUAAUAGAAGUGUUUAUUUGGAAUUUUUCAGGUAAGGGUUGUUCAUUUUUAAGGUAGAUUAUGCUGAAUUUUCGGUAAAUUUUCCUUAGAUGUGGACCCCGCGGGAUUUACUUCUGAUUUCAGGAUGAAAUUCGGGAUGGAUCCUGACAAAAAAAUCAUUAGAACUUACAAGUUAAGCUAGGAGGCAUAGAAAGGCCGUUAAUGGAGCAGCAGGGAGUUGAGAAGAUGAAGCAGAAGGUGAUGGUGGCAAUUGAUGAGAGCGAGCUCAGCCACUACGCCCUUGAAUGGACCCUUGAAAACCUUGGCAACACCAUUCACAAUUCUGAGAUACUCGUCUUCACUGCACAACCCAUCACCAUUGAUUUUGGUUACUCAAACAUCGAUGAAUUUUGCCCGGCAAACGGCAAACCUAUGUUAGAUCUAGGCCCGCUCACCUGCGGGACUAAUUUUUAAGGGAUGGAAAGGGACAGACGGCUAAACGCCGUUCGAUCUUAAUGAACCAAAUCUGACGGCUCAUAUAAACUUUACAAACCUCUCCCUUCUCAUUUUAUGUUCUCUCCCCUCUCUCCGUUGAGUCCAUUCUUUUGGGCUUCUAACUUAUUCAUUCUGGCUCCCUCAAUUUGGUCUUGUUUAAGACUCAUGAAUCAUCAAACAUUCAUUAAUAGUUGGGUUUCAAUCAAGGUUGCCAAAUGAAAUGAAAUCAAAGAUGACAACAACCCCAAUCAUUCGCAUAAGAACAACUACAAAACCCAGAAAACCCAUGAAUCAGUUUGAUUGUAAACAAUGAAUUUGCAAAAUUCAAAUGAUCCCCAUGGUAAACCUUAGAGUCUCUAAACCAACAAGGAAAAGAGAUCGAGAUUUUGCCGGAGAUGCAUGUUCAGCGAGCUAACAUCGUUUCCUCGCCAGCCCGACUUGCAAGCACUUUGUUCUUUAUGUUUAAUUCGAUCACCUCCCUCAUCACCCUUGACAUGUUGCCGGUGAGUCGGUGACAUACUUCCAGAAGAAUAAAGAGAGGAGAGAAGAGAAAACGAGAAAGGGAGAGGCGGAGUCUGAGAAGUUUUGUAAAGUUAUAUGGGCCGUCAGAUUUGGAUCAUUAAGAUCGAACGGCGUUUAACUGUUUGUCCCUUUCUGUCCCUUAAAAUUAGUCCCGUAGGUGAGCGGACCUAAUGUUAGAUCUCUGUGAUAAAUGGAAAUGCCAAAAUGGUACGUAAUUGACAAAACGUUUUCAAUUGUAAGGCUGGCGUAGCCAGAAAACUAAGCUAGGAGGGUCAGAAUUUAACAGUAAUUAAUCUUCUUUUAUUUUUCUCCCUUGUACUUGGGGGCACAUAAUUGUUCAUUCUUUUCGCAUUAGAGAAGUUAGUAUCGCCUAAACACUUACCGGUUUGACUAAAAAUAUAUAUUAUAUUCACGGCAAUUGCUUAUAUUGUAAGACAUUUUCUUAGAUCGUAUGAAAGUAAAAUGUAACAUAAUUAGUGUGAGGGUCAAACUUUAAACUAAUUUUGUAAUACAAGCAUGAAAGUAGUGAUUCUAUCAACCAAUGAUGGAUAAAAUUGAAAGAUGAGAAGGGUCAUUUGAACCCUCUCACUCUCAUGCGGCUACGCCCACUAGGCUGUAGCCAAUGUUCCCCGAGUUCGGCUACACAAAUCAUUAAUGUUGCAUAUGGAAUUAUGAUUCAUAUGUAGCCACUAGUAGAAAAAAAUAAAAGCAAUUCCUAUGCGACGAAAACGAAUAUCGUUGUUGAAAAUACAUUUUUUGUCGCUACAAUUCUCUAAGCUGAAGAAAUAUUUUUGUCGCUUAAGAUUCGUCGCCACAGGUCCUACUAAGGCGACAACAAGGAUUUUGUUGCAAAUUAUUUAUGUAACAACGAAAAUGUAAACACUUAAGUGGCGAAUAAGUUUGUUGCAUUAUAUCAUUCACCUAACCAACAAAUUUACCUUUCGUCGCUUUAGUUUUAGAAUACACGGAAUUUUUUACUCUUGAGCGUCGAAAAUAUUUGUCGCAUGAUAUCCUUAAUGUAAAACUAAAGCGACAGAACUUUUGACUCUUGAGCGACGAAAACUUUUAUCGCAUGAUAUCGGUAUACCAGAAGAAAGGCUUUAGCCGACGAAAAUAAAAAAACCAGGUCGACGAAUUAUUUUUUCGUCAGCUAAUUUAAAAUUUCAUCGGCUAUGGUCAACUUUAGCCGACGACAUUUUAAUUUCGUCGGCUAUAGUCUGUAAACUUUAGCCGACGAAAAAAUAAAAGUUUAGCCGACGAAAUUAAAAUGUCAUCGGCUAAAGUUCCUUAUAUUUGCAGAUCUGGACAGCAGCUCAUCUGGGAAAACAAAACGGGAGAAGAAAAAACGGGAGAAAAAGUUUGGGUGUUGUCGAAAUCUGUCCAUAAUUAGUUUUUGAAGCUAUAUAUAGGUACGUAUAUGUGUAUAUAUGUUAAUUUUGAGUUUUAUUUGAGUUGAUCGAUUUUGAGUGUGAUUGAGUUGAUCGAUUUUGAGUACAUUAGAUGUAUAUAUAUAUUUGUUGACCAAUUUGGUUGAUGAUUUGAUAAUAUAUAUGAAGUUGUUGUUAAUAAGUAGUAGAUAUAUAUAUAUAUAUAUGUUAAUUAAUUUAUAAUAUUGUGUUGAUGGUAUGAAGUUGUUGAUGAUAUAAGUUGAUGAUGAUUUUGUAAUGAUGUUGAUAUAUAAUAUUGUUAUGUAAUUAUUAAGUAUAUAUAUGUGUUAAUUAAUUUGUUAUUAAUUAGUUGUAGUACGUAGAAUACUAAAUGAAUUGAGAUUUUAUAUAUGGAAUUUAAUUAAUAAUUAGCUAGAGUUAUACAUAUAUAUUUUGUUACAUUUUCAGGAUAUGGAUAAGAGUUGGAUUUCGCUUCUAAAAUGGGACAAAAGAUAUGGUAAAGGAGUUAUGAAUUUUCUGGAAUAUGCGCUGGCUAAUGCUAAUGGGAAUACAAUUUUCUAUUGCCCGUGCAUGAAAUGUCAGUAUCACAGCGAUAUGCAUCGAUUUGCGAUUGACAAAGUAUGGCAGCACUUGAAGAGGAACGGGUUUUGGGAGAAGUACACAUGUUGGUUAUAUCACGGUGAAACAUCAUCAGGGGGUCCGUAUGAUCAUGGCCAAUUUUCUGAGACGGGCAGUACAUCCAACAAUCUAACAACGGCCUUCAUCAACGACAUGUUUCCUUAUGAGAGCAGUGUAUGCGCUCAAGGACAAUAUAUGCCUGAGCCGGUGCAGCCCUUCCUUAGAGCUGUCAACACUGUUGGUAUUGACAAGUACAACAAACUGUUUGCUUUCCAACAGACCCCUGUGUACGCCGGUUGUCAGAAGACCAUUCUUGAAAGUGUGAUGGACGUAAUGAAGAUUAAAGUUGAGACAAAAUCGACCGUGAAGGCUGUUGAUGAUUAUCUACAGUACACUGCUUCGAUGCUGCCCCACGGUCAUCAUCUUCCUACCACUCAUCAUAAGAUCCGAUGUAUCCUGAAAGAUCUUGAGCUUUCCAACAUCAAGAUCCAUGCAUGUAGAUAUGACUGCGUUCUCUUCUGCGGUAAAGAUCUAGAAGGGAAUGACCUUGGUGGCCUUGACGCAUGUCCGGUAUGUCACACUGACAGGUAUAAGCUGACUCCUGCAGGCAAUAGGAAACCUGUGAAGGUACUUCGGUAUUUCCCGUUGAGUGAUAGGCUGGAGCGGUUGUACAUGUCUUCACACACUGCCGAAGCUAUGAGAUGGCACGCUGAUAGGGAAUUGCAUGACGAAGAUACCCUUAUACACCUUGCUGACGGGGAGGCUUGGAAGCAUAUAGACAGGGAGUUUCUUCAUUUUGCGUCAGAGGUCCGAAAUGUGAGGCUCAGGCUCUCAUCCGACAGGUUCAACCAUUUUGGCAACAUGAAUCUUCAAUACAGUGUAUGGUCGGUGAUUUUGGUACCGUACAACCUUCCUCCAUAGAUGUGCAUGAAGAAGGAAUACAAUAUGUUGAGUAUGUUCAUUCCGGGGUCCGGUUAUCCAGGGAAGUGUCUCGAUAUGUAUUUGAGACAUUUGAUUGAAGAGCCUAAGUUUUUGUGGGACGUUGGUCAUCCUACUUAUGACAAGUACAUGCACGAGAUGUUCCAGAUGUAUGUCAUGGUUGUUGGUACCAUCAGUGAUUUUCCUGCCCGUGGGAUGUUGUCGGGCAACGUUGUUAGGGGAUACAAGGCUUGUCCAGAGUGCCUUAGCGAUGAGGGGAGCAGCAGUCAUUGCAACAAGAUAUGCAAAUUGGGUCACCGUACUCUCCUUCCAUUUGAUCACGAAUGGCGGUUCGAUGCACAGGCAUUUGAUGGGACCGUAGAAAACGGUGUGCCUCCCAGAAGAUGGACGGGGGAAGAAAUUUUAGCAGUGCUUAAUGAGUACGAUUUUGGGCAGCUCAACAAUCAUCCCAAUAUUGUGGCGCCAAUACCUGAAAGACCCGACAGGUACAAAUUCUGGACACAUAAGAGCAUAUUCUGGGAACUCCCAUACUGGAGUAAGUUAGUAUGGUUUACACCUUCUGUUUUUUUAAUGUAUAUUUUACAAUUUAGCCGAUGAAAUAUACUAUAAUUCGUCGGCUUAAACCAUCUUAGCCGACGAAAUAUACCAUAAUUCGUAGGCUUAAAAAAUCUUAGCCGACGAAAUAUAUAAUAAUUCGUUGGCUUAAAUCAUCUUAGCCGACGAAAUAAGUCAUAAUUCGUCGGCUAAGAUGCCGUUAGCCGACGAAUACCCUAAUAUUUCGUCGGAUAAACCCUAAACCCUAAAUUUUUUAUGACUUGUUGGGUCUCAUCGGUUUGAAACUAUUUUCAGUUGAAGGUCCGGCCAAAAUACGUAAUUUAGAUAGUCCAAUGACCUUUUCCGUGCGUUUAGGGGUUUGACUUAACGGAUUGACCGACCGGAUCGAUCCCUUAACCUUGUCGGAUCAAGUUAAAUUUUUUCUCAUACAUGUAUUUUAUCAUGAUGGUCAGUUCGUUUCUCAAGUUUGAUCAUCACAUUCACAACAUGCCUACUAAUGUUGUAAAACUUGUAUACCAAGUAUUCAAGUAAAUGUUCCGUUUCAAAUACAAAAUAUACGUAAAACCUUCAAACACAAAAAAGUUGUGAAAUAAGAUAUGACCAGAAUGGUGAAAUACGUCUACGGUUGAAAAAUCAUGGUAUUCCGGUAAAGUCUCGGUGCCGAUAGUUGCGGUUAAUGCAAUUUUCCAUUCUUUAUCUCUAUGGAUAGCCCUAUCUUCAGUGGUUAUUUUUCGUAAAAUUUUUAUAUGACUUGUUGGGUCUCAUCGGUUUGAAACUAUUUUCAGUUGAAGGUCCGGCCAAAAUACGUAAUUUAGACAGUCCAAUAACCUUUUCCGUGCGUUUUGGGGUUUGACUUAACGGAUUGACCGACCGGAUCGAGCCCUUAACCUUGUCGGAUCAAGUUGAAUUUUUUCCCAUAUAUGUAUUUUAUCAUGAUGGUCAGAUUUGAAGGUCGGAUUUUCGUUUCUCAAGUUUGAUCAUCACAAUCACAAUGUGCCGAAUGUAUAAAAGUACUUUAGCCGACGAAUUUGAAAGGUGAGACGACGAAUUUCAAAGUUUAGCCGACAAAUUUUAAAGGUUUAGCCGACGAAUUUCAAAUUUUAACCGACGAAUUUCAAAGUUUAGCCGACGGAAUAAAAAUUUCAUCGGCUAAAGUUGUACGGUAUACAGACGAAGACCCAGCGCUCGACAGCCUCCACAGCACGUUUCGAAAACCCUAGCUAGCCUCCUCCGCCUCCCUCUCCCGGUCNNNNNNNNNNNNNNNNNNNNNNNNNNNNNNNNNNNNNNNNNNNNNNNNNNNNNNNNNNNNNNNNNNNNNNNNNNNNNNNNNNNNNNNNNNNNNNNNNNNNNNNNNNNNNNNNNNNNNNNNNNNNNNNNNNNNNNNNNNNNNNNNNNNNNNNNNNNNNNNNNNNNNNNNNNNNNNNNNNNNNNNNNNNNNNNNNNNNNNNNNNNNNNNNNNNNNNNNNNNNNNNNNNNNNNNNNNNNNNNNNNNNNNNNNNNNNNNNNNNNNNNNNNNNNNNNNNNNNNNNNNNNNNNNNNNNNNNNNNNNNNNNNNNNNNNNNNNNNNNNNNNNNNNNNNNNNNNNNNNNNNNNNNNNNNNNNNNNNNNNNNNNNNNNNNNNNNNNNNNNNNNNNNNNNNNNNNNNNNNNNNNNNNNNNNNNNNNNNNNNNNNNNNNNNNNNNNNNNNNNNNNNNNNNNNNNNNNNNNNNNNNNNNNNNNNNNNNNNNNNNNNNNNNNNNNNNNNNNNNNNNNNNNNNNNNNNNNNNNNNNNNNNNNNNNNNNNNNNNNNNNNNNNNNNNNNNNNNNNNNNNNNNNNNNNNNNNNNNNNNNNNNNNNNNNNNNNNNNNNNNNNNNNNNNNNNNNNNNNNNNNNNNNNNNNNNNNNNNNNNNNNNNNNNNNNNNNNNNNNNNNNNNNNNNNNNNNNNNNNNNNNNNNNNNNNNNNNNNNNNNNNNNNNNNNNNNNNNNNNNNNNNNNNNNNNNNNNNNNUAGCCUCGACUACGCCUUAGCCUUUUAAAACAUUGGCCUUGAUUCAAAUUAAUAUUUUAAACAGGAUGAGCGGUAAUUUUAGAUCGACGAAGGGUUCGAAGGGCCAAAGGUCCGAAUCAUCUGAGGGAACCUCUAGCAACCCUCAAACGUUGUUUCGGGGCCCCAUGACAGCCAGACGUGCGACCCUUCUGGAGACGGCGCAGAGGCAGCCGGAGGUGCCCCCUUCAUCGAGGCAGCGGGGCAUCAUCGAGGCAGCGGGGCAUCCCUAAUUCCUCGAGGCAGCUGUGGCCUCAGACCCAGACGGAGGUGUCUGCACCCCGUAUGCCUGAGAUACACCGAGCGCCCACUCCGGAUCCUACUUCUUCGGAUAGUGGGUCAUCUAGGGUACAGAUGCUGCCGCCUCAUAUGUUCCUUCCGCGGAUGAUACCGACCUUACCUGUAGUCGAUGGCUCAUGGACGCCGAUUUAUCCACUGCCCCUGCCAGUGGCUCCAUCAGCGGCGUACCGGUUCGUGCAUUUUGAUACGCCUCUUAUUUCCGCGAGGGUAUCAUCAUCGGCAACAGAGACGAAAUCUGUCGCGUCCGCUGCAUCGCCCUCAGGUAAUGAAAGAUGAAUGAUUUGUUUUCUUAUAAUUAAUAAUAAAGGGUCUCCGAUUUUAAUAAUCAAUUUGGUUUAUCAUGUGAUAGGCACCGUUGGAGCGAAGCCGACAAAGAAGAAGAGAGGCCCCGUCACAGGGAAGGCUCUCGAGAAGACCGUCAGUACCUCAGGGAGGAUCGUCAUCGUUACUGACGGGGAUGGCGACAUAGUAUCGGGCGGGAAGUCGAGAACGUACUCCGGCCGCGUGGGAGCGCUCAUUAGGGAUAAAAUCCCUAUGUUGUGGUCAGACUGGGGCGAGGUCCAGCAGGAGGUUAAGGACAUGGUCCACAACGCAAUGUCGGUGAGUUUACAAGAUGCCUCAAUAAUAUUAUGUAUUACAUUAUUGAUUUCUCGAAAAACUAAACUAAUAAACGGUUAAAUGCAGGUGUGGUUUGAGGUUCCCAAGCACCUGAAGAAUAGUUGGGCGGACGUUGUGCAUGGGGGAAGGUACGUUGGGAAGUUAAUGAAAAAACAAAAUUGUAUGUGAUAUUAAUAAUAUUUCUAAUAUUUUUAUUGUAUCUGUAGGUACAAGGAGUGGAAGAACGAGUUGCGGACCCAUUGGACUACGGACGGGAACGCAUGUUCUGGUACCCCUGCUGAGUUCCAGUACAGGGAGUACGAGUGGCGUUGGCUUCUGACAUCAGAAUUCAACAACCCUCGUAAACAAGUAUUUAAAAAAAUUAAUUAGUUAAUUUGUCAUUAAGUACGUGCGUUUUUAAAUAUUUUACUAAUAGUUUAUUUUUUUCUUUAAAUGUCGUUUCCCUGACGAACGCUCAGAACCGGCACCGCAACACAAGGAACCAUCGUGCCGGUUCUAGACCGUUCGCUGUCUUCAUGGACGAGGCGGUCAGGGAACAUCCAGAAGUCAACCGGUACGUCUAUACGUACUAGAAGACAUAUCCUGACGGCUAGGAGGAUAUUGUAAGUCAUCUUAAGUUUUUAAAUUUUUAAUUUUACUUAUAUAUAUGUCAAAAUGUUAAUUAAUAAUUUUUUCCUAUCCAAUUAGGCGAAGGUGAGGGAGGCUACUAACGAGGUGAUGAGUGCUAUAGUGAGGGAGAGAUGGCCGGACACGCAGGAGGAAGAGAUGUCCGAAGCCAUGUCCUAGAUCAACACUUCGGAUCAGACGGUUGGGGCGAGGAUCAUGGGCACAGCCUUCCCACCGCGAACAAACAACUUCUACUGCCGGGGUCUAGGAAAGAAGGGCGAGGGGGUCCUGAAGACCACUCCAGGAUUUCAACGAAAGGUAGCCUUGACGAGCAACAGGACCACGACCACGACCACGACCACGAGGACGACUCAGCUAGAAUCGGAAGUUCAGUGACUACGGGAACAGCAAGCUGCUCAGGUUGCCUAUAAUGCCGCGCAUGCAGCCUUUGCUGCCGAGAUAUAUGCCAUCCAGCAGGCCCAGCAACAGCAAAUGUUUCAAUACAUGCAGGAGUUUACAGCUGCCUAGCUUCAGGGACUUCCGGCUAUACGGCUACCCUUGCCGCCGCAACCUCCGCAGCAGCCCCCAAAAGCCGAUAUUAAUUUAGACGAUCUAGAUUUUGUGUAGUUGAUGAAUUAUAUAGUUUUAUGUGCUUGUUGUUGGUUAUAUGGAAUUGUUUGGUGUAUUUUGCAGCUUGCUUAGAAUGGUAAUUUAGAAAUUCGGGUUUUUUUUUACUGGAAUGGAUUUAUAGCCGACGAAAUACGCCAUAAUUCGUCGGCUAAAGUAUUUUUAUUUUUAUAAGGUUUAGCCGACGAAUUAUGGAAUGUUUCGUCGGCUAAACCCUUUUAAAGCUGACGAAACAGACUAAAUUUCGUCGGCUUUAGUUAAUUUUUAUUUUUUAUUACAUACUAUAGCCGACGAAUAUAUUAAACGUUUCGUCGGCUAAAGUCUCAGACUACGGUCGACGAAGCAUUUAAAAUAUUCGUCGGCUAAAUUCUGAGAAAAAAACCGACGAUCUCUUUUUCGUCGGCUAAAUUCUGGGACUAAAGCCGACGACGUCUUCUAGUUUCGUCGGGUAAAGUCAUCGCCGAUGACCUUUUCCCGAUGAAAUCUUAGCCGACGAAUUAAGCUAACAGGCCGACGAAACUUUUUCAUCUGCUAAAGUGCUUGUCCUGGUAGUACCUAACCGACAAAUUGAAUUUUCGUUGUCUUAAGUUAACACUAAAGCGACGAAACUUUUGACCGUUGAGCUACGAAAUUAUUUGUCGCAUGAUAUCCUUCACCUAACUGACGAAUUUACUUUUGUUGUUUUAGGUUAGGACUAAAGCGACGGAACGUUUAAUGUAGAGUAACGAAAGUGUUUGUCGCAGGAUAUCCUUCGCCUAAGCGACGUAACUUUUUGACUUUAAUGACGAAGUAUUUUGUAAUACAAAAGUGAAAGUAGUGAUUCUAUCAACCAAUGAUGGAUAAAAUUGAAAAAUGAGAAUGGUCAUUUGAACCCUCUCACUCUCAUGUGGCUACGCCCACUAGGUUGUAGCCAAUGUUCCCCGAGUUCGGCUACACAAAUCAUUAAUGUUGCAUCUAGAAUUAUGAUUCAUAUGUAGCCACUAGUAGAAAAAAAAGGCUUAACCGACGAGUAUUUUCACAUUUCGUCGCUUAAGCAAUUCGUGCUUAAGUAAUUCCUAAGCGACGAAUUGCUUAAGCGACGAAAACGAAUAUCGUUGUUGAAAAUACAUUUUUCGUCGCUAUAAUUCUAUAAGGCGACGAAAUAUUUUUGUCCCUUAAGAUUCGUCGCCACAGGUCCUACUAAGGCGACAACAAGGAUUUUGUCGCAAAUUAUUUAUGUAACAACGAAAAUGUAAACACUUAAGCGACGAAUAAGUUUGUCGCAUUAUAUCCUUCACCUAACCGACAAAUUUACCUUUCGUCGCUUUAGUUUUAGAAUAAAGCGACGGAACUUUUGACUCUUGAGCGACGAAAACUUUUGUCACAUGAUAUCGGUCACCUAACCGACAAAUUGAAUUUUCGUCGUCUUAGGUUAACACUAAAGCGACGAAACUUUUGACCGUUGAGCGACGAAAUUAUUUGUCGCAUGAUAUCCGUCACCUAACCGACGAAUUUACUUUUGUCGUUUUAGGUUAGGACUAAAGCGACUAAACGUUUAGUGUAGAGCGACGAAAGUGUUUGUCGUAGGAUAUCCUUCGCCUAAGCGACGGAACUUUUUGACUUUAGCGACGAAGUAUUUCGUCGCUUAAGUGAAAUCUUCUUUAUAUCCUCUGCAUCACUUCCAGAUCGAAAAACUGGAGGAAAACAGAUCGAGCUACAGUAAAAAAAAAAUCUGCACAGAUCAAUCUUGCAGAUCUCUGGCUUAUUUGAUCAUCCGUACAUGUUCUUCUAAUGCAUUGUACAUCUUCAUCCACUAGUUGUAGUUUGGUACAUGCUUUUUCUCUCUCUUUUCUACCAUUUUUUUCGAUGAGUUUUCCGGUGAAAUAUUCCGGUCAAUUAUUGUUAUUCUUUAUUACUAAUUUUUUUUAGAUAUGUUGGUUUUAUGAUGAAUUUUGGUUACCUAUUGGUUUUCUUGUUUAUAUAUUACAUUUUUUCAUAUUGCUAAAUGUUGAAUUUUGGUAAUAUAUGUUUAUGAGAAUAUUUAGGUUGAUUGUACACGUACCUUUGUGAGAAUAUUGGUAAUAUAUAUGAGAAUUUUGGUAAUAUAUAUUUAUGAGAAUAUUUAGGUUUAUGUUGAAUAUUUUUGAGAAUAUUGGGUAACGGGCCGGUUCAAGGAACAUUAGAUUUAACACUAAUUUUGACACUAUUUCUUAACCAUAGGAUUUUAAAAAAUUCAAUGGUCUAGAUCAAUUUUAAAUAUGAUGUCAACCUACUAAAACUGAUGUGGCAAGUGACGUGGAAUAACCUAAUUUCAUAACAACUCAAAUUACAAGAAAAGAAUGAAAAAUCAAAAUCUAAAAUCUGAAAAUAAAUAUAUAUAUAUAUAUAUGUACGAUAAAAAAAGAAGAAAAAGACGAUACAAGAACAAAACGCAGACGAACGCAGACCUAAGAGAAGAAACAUAGAAUAUAGAGGAGCAAAAGUACCAAAACGCUGAAAGCAUCUUCUCUAACUCCAAGCUCAAUCUUUAUACUUUCACAUAAAUAUGUACACUGGCCGGUUCAAGGAACGUUAGAUUUAAUACUAAUUUUGACACUAUUUCUUAACCAUAGGAUUUUAAAAAAUUCAAUGGUCUAGAUCAAUUUUAAGUAUGAUGUCAACCUACUAAAACUGAUGUGGCAAGUGACGUGGAAUAACCUAAUUUCAUAACAACUUAAAUUACAAGAAAAGAAUGAAAAAUUAAAAUCUAAAAUCUGAAAAUAAAUAUAUAUAUUUAUGUACGAUAAAAAAUAAAAUAAAAAGACGAUACAAGAACAAAACGCAGACGAAUGCAAACCUAAGAGAAGAAACAUAGAAUAUAGAGGAGCAAAAGAACCAAAACGCUGAAAGCAUCUUCUCUAACUCCAAGCUCGAUCUUUAUACUUUCACAUAAAUAUGUACAGGUACUAGCUAGCUAAUCUUGUUUAAAUUGAUUACUUUACUCAUUCUGAGCAAAGUAUAUAUUGUGAUGGUGAUUUUGUUAGCUAGAAAGAUUAACAAAUAGGAUCGUUGGGGGACAACUGCCUUUCCAAAAUUCUCACAUACAUAUGAAUUCUAUCCAUAAUCAUAUGGUCAACCAAGAGUCAGUCUAACGCGUAUUCUAACAUUAGCAUCAUGUUAUGAAUUGUUAUGAAAUCUCACAUACAGUGAUCCUUCGCUAUCCUUUUUUUUUAUCGUAUAGAUUUUGUUUUUUGUUUUUUUCUAGAUUAUAGAUUUUGAUUUUCAUUCUUUUCUUGUAAUUUGAAUUGUUAUGAAAUUAGGUAAUUCCACGUCACUUGCCACAUCAGUUUUAGUAAGUUGACAUCAUACUUAGAAUUGAUCUAGACCAUUGAAUUUUUUAAAAUCCAAAGGUUAAGAAAUAAUGUCAAAAUUAGUGUUAAAUCUAGUGUCUCUUGAACCGGCCCGAUUUGGUAAAAUAUAUUUAUGAGAAUAUUUUGGUAAUAUAUUUUUUUAUAUAUAUUUCAUUUUUUCUGUAUGCAAAUGAUUAUAUGUGUGUUUAUUUGCGCGAUGAAUGUAAGAAUGAUUAUAUUCUUGCAUUCUAGCUACUUACAUGUUUAGCCUUAGAAAUCUCAUUCAAGAAUUAUUUUGUUACAACUUUGUUUGACAAAAUGACUCUUGAAUUGUCCCAUUUUUGGACAGUUUGGGAGAACAUAACUUUGAUUCGCACUGAUUUAUGUUAUGGUGGUUCAGUUUUCCAUAGUGGGUAAUUUUGACAUGGUCUCCCGCUACUGUUCCUCGAGUGCACAUUAGGUAUAGAAAUUGAUGCACUUGAGGAACUGUAGGGAGAUACUGCCGAAAUUUUCCCACAUCGGAUUCGAAACCACCAUAACAUAAAUCAGUGCGAAACAAAGUUAUGUUCUCCUGAAUGGGAUUAAGACCCUAACCGGAGGCAUAAGGUGAUGAAGAAGAAGAAUUGAAUGGAUAUAUGUGCUUAUUUGUUGCCAACAAUGUGCAUUUUUUUUUUCUAUUAUGACAGGCAUGCGGAAAAAAUGGACAAGAGCUGGAUGCAGUACAAUAGGGGACACCCUUUAUAUAUACAGGGGAUCGUAGAUUUUCUGAAAUUUGUACAACUUUACGGUGGUGGAAAGGAAUGGCACAAAUGUCCAUGUAAAAGAUGUUGUUGCGGUAGUUGGGAGACAAUUCAGGGAAUAGAAAAGCAUUUGUCACAUUACGGCAUGGAUCCGUAUUAUACUACAUGGACUGAACACGGUGAAGUGCUAGUUAAUGAUCCUAUAAUGCCCCAUUUCCUACAACUGAUAAAGACUCCUUAUAUAGGAGCAAAUAAACCCUAGGGCAACUAACAUCAAAGCCUAAAAGCCCAUGGAUUAAAAGAAAACCAAAUCCAAAACAAACUAUUAAAAUUAAUGUCUGAAAAUAAGUAAAUCUGCAUUUUGAAGGCCUAAACGGACUCGGAUGGCCUAAAAAGCCCAUACAUUGUGGCAAAGCAACAAGUUUGGUUCGUUGGGCCGUUCCACUUUCAGAAAUGUAUCAUAAUAGUCAAUCGGACACCGAACGCCAAAUCUGGAGUAAACCGGGUUUGGACUUGUUUUUAUCGAUCUGCUCUUCAAUCUCUAUCGCCAUCUAUUCUAUAUCACAUUUUAUGAGUAUUAAUUAGCAGAAAGUGAAAUAUAAAUAAUUUUCCAACUUAAGCGACGAAUUUUGUCAUUUUCGUCGCUUUAAAACGUAUAUUCUUUGGCGGUAAGUCAAAAAUUUAAGCCACUUGGGCGACAAAAAAGAAACAAUUCGUCGUUUUGGCCCAAAUAUUUAGGGGGGCUGCUUUUCACUCCUAAAUUUUGGCCCAAAUUUAAACAAACUUAAGCGACAAAAGCCAUAAGGUAUUCAUCGCUUAAGUUGUUACUAUAUUUUGUUUCAGAACCUUGUUCGAUCCUAAUCGUUUGCUUCCUCCUUACCGGUCUAAAACACCAAAUCCUCUCUCUUUCUCCCAACCUACUGAUCGAAAUCCUCCCUCUUCCUCCUCUUCUUCACUUCGCAUAUCAAUUCAACCACCUCCUAAAUCCCUAAAUAUCACCUCCACCUUCUCCACCACUCACAAAACCCAGCGACAUCCUCCUCUAACUACCUAGAUGCCGGUGCUCGGGAAAAGGAAAGCUCGGGAGGAGGCAGAGGAGCGUUUACGACUGGAGUGUGCGCAACAAUAUGACUCCUCUUCUGCCGGAUCCAACACAGCCACUCCGACGACGACGACGCCUCCAAGAUCCCUUGUUGAAUCGGCUCCCCCUCUAACCGACGACGAUGACGAGUCAACGACCCAAGUAGCAGAAUAAAGAUCGUCUGAGGGUGCACCCAGGGUUGUCAACGCUCACCGGAAACCUAAGAAAAGCGGAGGACCUCCCCAAAAAGGCAACAGGGAUGUAGUGAACAAUGCAAAGGUGUCUGAUAUUAUGAAAAGCACGGGGAAGAAGAUCGACUUGGACUUUGAUUGGGAGGUUCUUGAUGGACCUCGUAAUUCUGAUGUAUGCAGCCUGUUUGUCAAUAGUAUUGGAAGCAUUAUACGAAAAAAAGUGGCAAUGAAGAAGGAAUCGUGGUAUGAUUUAGACAAGGAGGAGAGGAAGAAACUUUUUAACAGUCUCACUGUAAGUUAACUCAUAACUUUCAGUUCUUUUUGUUGGUAUUUUGAUUCCCUGCAUCAUUGCAACUUAAUUAUAACUUGUUUUCUAUGUCUUGCAGUGUUUUUUUAUCAUUGAUUUUAAUGGUAUAAAAGCCAUUAAAUGGAUCAAUAAAAGGGCGACAAGUGUAUUCCAUGAAUGGAAGCACGACUUAUUUGAGAUUCACAAGCUCGGGGGGAGAGAUGUAAUUCUGGAAGAGCUUUUGCACAGGCGGGAUGAGUGGGAGUGGCUUUGCACGCAUUUUGAUUCGGACAAGUACAAGGUAUAAAUCUGGAAAUUCUUUGUGUUAGUUUGCUUUUUAUUUGACUGAUAUGGUUUCAGAGUGUUCCUCAAAACAAUUCACUUUCAUGAUUAUCAAUGUGUUGCUUGAUUUCUAUGUUGAUUGUUAUUCACUUCCUGUUGAAGGUUGUUUGACAUCGCUCUUUAUUUUAUUUCAGUAGCUUCACGUAUAUUGUUUAGUUGAGUGAUAUUGCCUUCAUACGUUUAUGUUGUUCUAUGGACAUCAGCUUAUUAAAGCCAUGGAAUACCAGGUCUUAGUAGAAUACCUUAUUUAACAAAAGACUUGGUUUCUCAAGUUCGAUACUAUCUCCUGUGUAAAUUAGCUUUAAUUUUGUUGUUUGGUUAUAAGUAGUUUUGCUAUGUGUGCUUUCUCUUCUUAUAAUCUUGUUGGGGCGUUUUAUUGAUUCACAGUUGUCACAAGAAAAAAAAGAUGUUGUUACCAUUGUCAACUAGCUCUUGUGAACUUGAAAGAUGCAAUUGAGUUUAUUCUGAUCAUGUAUUCCUUGACUGCUCUCUGUAUAAUUAUUGUUACUGAGUUCUGGUUAUAUGUCUAUUUGGCUGGAGUAUAUAUAUUGAAUUAAGAAGUAUAACAGAUGACCAACUUACAAAGGGAUAGAGAUAGUGUGAUUCUUUGUUUUGUAUUGAUUGUCUAGCUGGCUACUUCUUCUAAAUGAAAAAAAACACUCAAAAUGAAAGCAAAAACCCAUAGAAAAGACAAGAUGACGUAGCCUGGUUUGAUGGUACUGGCUAUAUAAGAUAUGAGCGGACUAGAUGCCCCAUGUUACUAUAUCACAAGCAUUUUUACUUAGGGCAUGCCUAUGAUAGGAAAGAAAGGAACAUAGAAGCUAGAAGGUGCCAAACCCCAUUCUGGUGGAAGAGGCAGAUUGAAUGUCUAAAGGCAAAUUAAAGGCAUAAAAGGCAUAUCCUAAGUAUGCCUUUAAUUUUGUUGUUCUAUUAUAAGUAGUUUUGCUAUGUGUGUUUUCUCUUCUUAUAAUCUUGUUGUUCUAUUUAUUGAUUCACAGUUGUCACACACAAAAAAAUAGAGGUUGUUACCAUUGUCAACUAGCUCUUGUGAACUUGAAAAGAUGCAAAUGAGUUUAUUCUGAUCAUGUAUUACUUAACUGCUCUUUGUAUAAUUAUUGUUACUGAGUUCUGGUUAUAUGCCUACUUGGUUGGAGUAUAUAUAUUGAAUUAAAAAGUAGAACAGAUGACCAACUGACAAAGGGAUAGAGAUAGUGUGAUUCUUUGUUUUGUAUUGAUUGUCUAAUAUGAGGCUGACCUGACUAUUUGUGUACUCACUAAAUUUAAAGGAUAUGGAUCGGUAGCAAUUUUCAAUCUGGGGGUGUCACAAUCAGUUUCUGAAUUUUGAAUUUCUAUAGUUGGUAUGGUUCAGUACUCUUGUUCUUUAAUCAAGGGUGGCUUUAUGGUUUAGUUAUAUAUACAUAUAUGUAUUUGCAUACAGUAGUACAUGAUUGACAAGAGUCACAAGACAUGCUUUCAUGGAGGAGAUAAUGUCCCCAGUUAGGCAUUGUCCUAUGUUCUUUAGAUUGAAAUUUGGAAUUUAUAGGUUGAGUGUCAUAUAGUUGAGAUUUUUGACCGGUUACCUUCUUUAUAAAAACUGUACAAAAUGGUUAGUUGUUUGAACUUGGUGUCUUCAUGAAAGUUAGAGUAGAGACCUUAAUGAUCGUUUCAGAACUGGAAUCUCUUGAAAAUAAGUUUUUUAGAAUUAGUUAUGAUUUUCCAAAGUUACGGCUCAGUUGAAUAUUUUCCUGAAACAUCAAACUAUCCUUGUUUUGUUUUUCCAUCCUAUUUUUAUUUUCCAGUUACACCUUCGACUUGAAAAAAAAAAACAUUUGGGUCAGGGUGUGACAGGUUUCCUGAGGACAAAGUGAUAGUCACCCUGUUUUGAUUAUGCUUCAUUUUUAGGGAGUUAUUUUUACAUCCUGUUUUGAUCAUGUACUUGGUCUUGUGCAAAGACAAUCGGUUGCCAACUCCAGCAACCGUGGUAAGAAGGAGUUGGAGUGCCACUCAGGGAGGAAACCUAUCAUUUACUGCGUGGCCGAGCUUAGGGAUAAGGGUGCUUCAUUACCGGUGGUUGACGUGUACUUGGUGACAUACGACAUCAACCAGCCUAAAGCUGCUGAGCAUUAUAUGAGUAUCAGUACCUAAAAGCUUAAGGAUAAUGGUGUAUAAUAUUGAAAAUAACAAGGUUGUUAGCAUGCAAUUUGUAUUGUAAUCUAUGACAUCUUUAUUGAAUUGGUUAUGCCCUUAUUGAUUCCAAGUUCUUCAAAUUAGUUCAUUAUUUUUCAGCUGUAAUAUUUGAAAUUCUGAAAUUCUGAAAUUCUACAUCAGUUAGCUUUCGUCUGGAAAUUUUUUGAGUUUGUUUACUUUCUAUUUAAUUUGCUGGUAUGGUUUAAGAGUGUUCCUGAAUUCAAUUCACUUUGACCAAAUUGUGAUUUGAUUUGUUAUGCUUGCUAUGGAAGAUUACUCAACUUAGCCUUUAUUUCAGUAGCUUCACAUAUAUUGUUUGCUAGAGUAACAUUGCCUUCAUACGUUUCUGUUGUUCUAUGGACAUCAGCUUAUUAAAGCCAUGAAAUAGUAAUACCAAGUCUUAGUAGAAGGACUGAUUUAACAAAAGACUUGGUUUCUCAAGUUCGAUACUAUCUCCUGUGUAAAUUAGCUUUAAUUUUGCUAAUCUGUUAUAAGCAGUUUUCUUAUGUGUGCUUUUUCUUCUUAUAAUCAUGCUGGGGGUUUUAUUGAAUUCACAGUUGUCACAAAAAGAGAGACUUGGUUAGCUCAUAAAGGAUGAAACUUGUAUAACUCUUUGCUUUUUACUUGAGGUUUCAAUGUUGUUUAAGACACUGAAUAUGCACUUUAAUUUUUGUGCUUAUUGUUAUUCAGUUCCUGUUGAAAGUUAUUUGACAUGGCUUUUUAUUUCAGUAGCUCGAUAUGUAUUGCUUGCUAUAGUGCUCUUCAUAGAUUUCAGAGCACCUUUUUGACAUGGUUCAGUAGCUUUGUCUAGCUCCUGUUAUGUAGGAGUCUUCUCUACUGGCUGCCUAUGCUGUUUCUAUGUUAUUUAGUAUUUAUAUGAUUAUUUUAGUCUCGUAUGUGAAACUUUUGCUCUGAUUUGGUUUUUAUUUUCUUCUGUUUCAUCUAUUCGUAGAAAUUUACAGAUGAGAGAGUCAUCUCUCAAACAAGACUAAAACAUGUCUAGAAUUCAUCUCUAUUAUUUGAUUUUUUUUUUUUUGUUGUCUCUGGUUUUUACUGAAAAGAAUAGCUGACGAGUGACAUGGUUGAAAUGUGUUCCUAAGUUUAGUUUACUUCCAUAGUGAUCAAUUUGUGGUUUCUUUUCUAUGCUAAUGUCACUUGUUGUGGAUUAUUAUUCAAAUCGGUUCUUUAUUUCAGUAGCUGCAUAUUUAUUGAUUGCUAGAAUGGCAUCAGCUGCAUACGUUACAGGGAACCUUAUUGCCAAAGUUGAGUAGCUUUAUCUAGAUCAUGUUCAACGAUAGUCUUGUUUAUUAGCUGCCCAGUUUGUUCUCUUGUGUAUUCUUAAGUUAUUUAGGACCAGUAUGCAUUUGGUAUCUCAACAUUAUAUAUAAUUUGGGUUGUGUAUAUUAUUUUAUAAUUGUAGGAAAAGUUGAAGGAACAGGGUGCUAUUGCCAAGACUUUGCAGAGCACUCAACACCCGGACAUCCCACUAGUUUGGACUGACCAACUCAACUAAGUGUUGUGCAAAACGCUAUGGGAGAAACAAAAGGGUCUUACCUUCGUGGUAUUGGACGAGUAGGCGUCCCAGAGAAGAGCAGAAGGUCAAUAUCUUCCUCGAUCUUCAUGCUCUCGACCGAAUAAUGAGGCGAUAGCAGAGAUAGUGGCUGCUAGAAAGGAGGCAGCUGAGGCACAAGAGAGGGCCGAAAAAGCCCAGAAGAUCACUGAGCAGUUUGCUGUAGAUUAUCAACUGUUGAAGUUGCAAAUAUCAAACCAUGGCUCGAAUAGGGCUACAGCCCAUGUGUUCACCCUCGGUCCCAAGCCAACAACCUCGAGACGACGAUGAUGAUAGGGGCCUUGACACUUCUCCAAUUAGUUUAGGAAAUCAGAAGAUUUUUCUAGUUUAAAUAAUUGUACAAACAAUAUUAGCUAGUAUUUAUUUGGUCGGUACGAUAACUUUAUUAUUAUUAGUAAUAUCAAUAUUUUGGUUAAUUUAUUUUGGUUUUAUAGGAUUUAAUUAUUUACUUACAGAAAUAUAUUUUUGAGUUAUUAUAUCUCUUAAUAAUAAUAAAAAAUUCAAAAAAACUAAAACCUAAGCAACGAAAAUUUUGUCUCUUAAGAUGCUUAUUUUUGUCGCUUACGGGUAAAAAUUAGGCGCCAAAAGUUGACAGGCCAAAAAAGACUUAUGUCGUAUAAGGCCAUAGCGACGAAAACUUUCGUCGCAUUAAAUAUAGUGACGAAAACAAACUCGUCGCUAAACUAAAAAGAUUCGUUGCUUAACAGUAAAACGACAGGAGAACAUACGUCGCUUAACAACUUAAGCGACAAACACUUUUCGUCCCCUCACUUAAUUAUUCGUCGCAUUAAAUCUAGCGACAAAAAAAGGAUCAUCGCUAAACUAAAAAGUUUCGUCGAUUAACAGUAAAACGACAAGAAAACAUACGUCAUUUAACAACUUAGACGAUGAAAAAAGUUUCUCGCUUAAGUUAAUUAUUUGUCGCCUAGGUCUGUGGCGACAUAAACAAUCCUCAUCGCUUGGUUCGUUUUCUUAAUCAACGGAUUAUAUGUUUUUGUCGCUUAAGUACCUAUGAGACGUGUCAUAUGCGACAAAUCUUAAGCGAUGCUGGUUUCGUCGCUUAAGUCGGAAGGCGACAAAAAUGAGCACUUAGCCGACUAUUUGUUCCUGUCGCUUAAGCUUUUAUUUCUACUAGUGAGCUAGCCUAGGUUGGGUAGCGCAAUGGUGGACCUACGAUUUUAGGUUGGGGUGGGCUGAAAUUUUUUUCUUAAAGUUCUUUAAUUUUUUUCUUCUAUAUUUUACAUAUCACAUUUUAGAUUAAAAACAUAUCAAAUAAUCACGUAGUUAACUGAUCAUUAAGAAAUCAAUAUUAUAACAUUUUAUAAAAAUUCGAUAACAAAAGUUAAAGAUAAAAUAACAUACCUGCUCAAAUUGAAUCUUACGCUCUUGAAUAGAAGCAAAAUCUAAUAACUACGCACACAAUCACCGCUCUAACAAUACAAUAAACGAGUGUAUAAUCCUUAAAUCUAACUGGACGGAAAAACACAAUCUAAUAACUAUGAAUCAAACGUUGGUACUAUUACAACUAUAUAUCUACAUAUAUACACAUCAAUAGCAUUAGUCAUCUACAAUAAAGUAAGCAAGCAAGCAAUUGAGAUUAGAAUUAGAAUAUCAAUAGAAAUACAGUGUGAUGGGAUUAUGGGAUAUUGAGACUAUCAAGGCAUUAAUAAAUUGAGAUUUGAGAUGAUGGGAUAUUGGGACUAAAUUUGAUCAAAGCACUAAUCAAUUGAGAUUUGAGAACUAAGUCAUAUGAUACGUACAAGACUCCAAGAAGAUGACCGAUAUAACUAAGAAUCAUACCUGCAGAUUAAAAAGAGAAAGCUUGACACUUUGCUUAGAAUUAGUAAACAAGCAAUUGAGAUUAGAAUUAGAAUAUCAAUAGAAAUACAGUGCGAUGGGAUGAUGGGAUAUUGAGACUAUUAAGGCAUUAAUCAAUUGAGAUUUGAGAUGAUGGGAUAUUGGGACUAAAUUUGAUCAAGGCAUUAAUCAAUUGAGAUUUGAGAACUAGGUCAUAUGACACGUUCAAGACCCUCCAAGAGGAUGACCGAUAUAACUAAGAAUCAUACCUGCAAAUUAAAGAGAGAAAACUUGGCACUUGGCUUAGCUGCUUCGGCAGAAGAGAAUUGAGACGUAUACAAUGACAAAGAAAAAGAAAUAAAGAGAAGAAAGUUGACCUAAAAUAUAAUAAAUGAGCAACUGCUUUUAAUAAAAUAAACAAUAUAUAUGUAAUCAGGUAAAAAAAAAAUCAUAUGGACUAAGUUCAAUUACAUAAAGAAAUUUAGGAUGGACAGGUUUUCAUAAUUUUAUUUUUUUAAUUAUAAAUAUGCAACAAAACAAUAUUUUCUCAAAUCUGUUUGGGGUAGCUUUAGGCCUUUAGCAGUUAGGCGUAUUCAUAGUGCCUGCUGUCCUGUACCGAGUGUACACCUGUUCUUGAUAAAAAGACGUCCUUCUCUGAUAUUCUCCAUACUCUCUACCUUUGCCCGGCAGCAGUCAGCAGCACAGAUGUUGAGGUUGCAGGCAUUUUCAAUUCCCGACUACAAUCCGGUUACCUUUCCCUCUUCAUGCGUCCUUCCUAACUCGCUUCAUCUUCACUGUCAGUCAGUAUCUUUUCCAACCACACGGACGCGUCUCCGGUCACUCCGCAUCGUCAGGAUAUGCAGCACUUCCCUUGCAGGCGAUUUCGGAGGUGGCAUAGGGUACUAUUACUUAAAAUCCUCUAGAAAUGUAUAUGUAAUGGAUAAAGUUCGUAGUUAAAUAUUCAGUUAUAUUCAGUUCUGUUAUUUGGAUUUAUGUUCUUGCUACCCAUGUUAAAGUCAUAAUAUUUGUGCUUGGUGGGUUUUGUUGUACCUUUCUUUUCAUUUCAUUUCCUGCAUUUUGGUGACUGCAACAUUAAGAGGUGAUGAUAGCAUCGGAUACAUGUUGAUCUAGCAUUCUGCAAGUGAAUGAAGUUAAAUAUGUGAUGAAAGCUUUUUAUCCCUUCUUAACUUGCAGAAUGAGUGGUUCUUAUGAUGUUGAGCUUAAAGUCCGGGACUAUGAGCUUGAUCAGUAUGGCGUCGUAAACAAUGCUGUCUAUGCAAGUUAUUGCCAGCACGGUGAGACCUCUAUAUUCGUUCGUACAGUUAACAUUUCUGUAUUUUUAAAGGCUUUUCAUUUAUAUCAACAUAGCUUUUGGAACA